rnacentral:rRNA from 1 species
UGAGGAAUAUUGGGCAAUGCCCGCAAGGGUGACCCAGCAACGCCGCGCGGAGGAUGAAUGUCGUAAGAUUGUAAACUCCUGUUAGAGGGGAAGAAUAGUACCGGUUGGACCGGUAUAUGACUGUACCCUCAGAGAAAGCCCCGGCUAACUACGUGCCAGCAGCCGCGGUAAUACGUAGGGGGCAAGCGUUGUCCGGAUUUACUGGGUGUAAAGGGUGCGUAGGUGGGCUUAUAAGUCAGUGGUGAAAUCUCCGAGCUUAACUUGGGAACUGCCGUUGAUACUAUAGGUCUUGAAUUAUCUGGAGGUAAGCGGAAUAUGUCAUGUAGCGGUGAAAUGCUUAGAUAUGACAUAGAACACCAAUUGCGAAGGCAGCUUACUACAUAUAAAUUGGCGCUGAGGCACGAAAGCGUGGGGAUCAAACA